AGCACCUUCUGCAAACUUUUCAUUUGGAAAAUUACUCAACCGUUUUUUUUGUUAGGAAACCUGCAGUGGAUUUCAAACAAGCCUGGUAGUUACAUGAAACAGUUUUGGAUACAGAAGCUUGUAACUACAGGCAGAGAAAGCAAUGAAGGCUACCCAAGUAUUUCUAUUAUAAAACUUGCACCUUCUGUUCCAAAAGCCAAACUUCAAAUACUUGUGAUUAAUUAUUUCUCUGGUAAGCAUCCAACUCAGACUCUUUUUUUUCUCCCAGUAUACUUAAAGAUAUUAGUAAAAGUAACUGAUCUCUUGCUUAGAUUUCUAAUUAGGAAGGUGAAGAUUUCACCAGAAAUAUAAGAGAAAAAUUGCAUAAGUAUGGCUUUGUGCUUCAGGGAAGGGCAAUGAUAUAAGCAGCUGUUGUUUUACCAUGUUUUGCAACAUUCAUUCUGCAUUGGCUGUGUGUUUGAUUUUCAAAUCUAGUUUCUUAACUACAGGUUUUUUGCAUUUAGCUUACAUGCAACCCAUACUGGGGGAGGCUGUAGCACAACAUUUUUAGCACAACAUUGCCUUGACCAGUAGAUCAUAUGGGAAAUACAGUAGGGAAAUGUUGCAUCUUCCUGCAAGAGAAUUAGUUUUCUUUCUACUCAAAGCUCACACAUGUUGAAUAAGGAGCCUGCUUUUCUUCUCCUCAUAUUAUUAUUAAGAUUCUUGUCUGUUUUCUCACAAGAUGGAGAACACAGUGAAAGAAAUGACACGAUAACAACAACAAAAGAAAGAAAGCAAACUCUCUUCCCUGACUCCAUGCUUUUGCAGAAAUAAAUUUGCUAUGCUGCAGAACUUUUAUCUUCAGCAGAGAAAAGAGCUAAAGGAGAAGCACUAUACUGGUCACAGCAGUUCCACCCUUAGAGAAGCUGCGUAUUUAUAUUUACCUUCUAAGUAAAAGCACUUACUUUUGUCCACCAACAGACAUGUAGUCCAGCCCAUAACCACACUAUAUUAAUCUGGACCACAGAGGCAGCUGGAGAGGCUGCCCAGCACCGCUGCUUUUCCUUUGUCCUUGCUGCUGAUGUGACUUCAGCUGAGCUGCAGCCUCGGAUUAUGCAGCACAAGCCUCCCUCUGCAGAGAAGCGCCAAAUAAGGCCGAGAGAGCUUUACUGGAGGCUCUCUUUGGAGAAAUGCUGGUUUGAAUGUCAAUUAAUCUAACGACUGAAAACGUGCAUGUUCUUAAAAAAAAAUAAAAAAAGCAAUAGGACAAAGGUUUUA